UAAGAGGGACUAUGGCUUCUGGUCUUUCUUAGAAGUCACUGGGGUCUUUUCUUUCCUUCACGCUUUAUGGUCAGGCAGCCACCAAGCAUACUGAUUACUCCUACUCUUACUUAAACCAAUAUUCCUUUCUCCAUCUUUUCUCCUCCUCAGUUCCUCUUCCUCUCUAGCCUGGGCAAUUGCAUUAUUUUUGUAACACCUUUUCUAGACUCUAAUGUUGCCUCCCUGCAAUCUAUCCUUCGCACUGUGAAAGUAAUGUUUCUAAAGUCCAAAUCAUACCAUGUCCUUCCCCGUUAGUCCUCUGUGUUGAGAGGAGAUGAAGCUACAGGCAGAGCUGCUUACGGCACGAAGAACCGGGGUUCCCUGGCAAGGCCAUCGGACUCUACCUUGCCUGAGCCCCUACCUGGGAACCUGGAGAAAUCUUGCACUGAAUGGCCCGAGUCAGCUGAUACUCGCAGCAUUUCAAGACUUUCAUGUCCCACAAGUCUCCUUUUUAUCUUCCCCUGCUUUAUUUUUCACCAACCGUUCCUGAAGCUGCUGCUGCUGCUGAUGAUGAUAAUAACAACACUCAGUAAUAAUAGCCAGCAUUAAUUGGAAUCAACCACCUUGGAGAAGAUGGGGGUCUAUGAACUCUUUUUAAGGCAAUGAAUAAAGUUGAGUGGCUGAAGUUGCUUCAGUGAAGCUUGAUGUUUAUUCUACUUUUGUGGUCAGUUCCUGCCUUCCAGUGAGCAGUAAAUCAAGAACUGGGGGCAUUUCUUGCUUUUCCAGGGCUGUAGCUCAUGUGGAUGGUCCACAGGAUGUCCCUGGGUAACUUCCUGCCCUGGGGCCUCUCUGUGAAGUGAAAAUUUCCCUCCAAAGGGAGACUGCCUCCUAUUUCGUUUAUAAAUCAGGUUAUCUCUGGUUCUUGGACUUAAAAAAAUAACCUCUCUCCUCCUCUUAGCAAAUUUCUUCCUCUUGAGCUUAUGCAUGCAGUUAUUAACACAUGUAUUCUGAAGCAGUCAGAAAAGUAUUAAACGUUAAAAAUAAAACUAUAAAACCCUGCAAUUCAUGAAACAUACCUCUAUGGAGACUUUGCUGUGUGUCAGGAGCUGUCCGUGUGUUUGUUCACAUAAUCCUCACACCAGCUCUGUGUGGUUGGUCUUGUUCUUCCCACAUUGAGGCUAAGGAGACAGAUGCUCAGAGCAGAUGCACAUUUUGCCCAAGAUCUUGCAGUGCUGGAGGUGGAUUCA